AUUGAACGCUGGCGGCAUGCCUUACACAUGCAAGUCGAACGGCAGCACGGGGCAACCUGGUGGCGAGUGGCGAACGGGUGAGUAAUGCAUCGGAACGUGCCAUUGAGUGGGGGAUAACGUAGCGAAAGUUGCGCUAAUACCGCAUAUUCUGUGAGCAGGAAAGCAGGGGACCGCAAGGCCUUGCGCUCUUUGAGCGGCCGAUGUCAUAUUAGCUAGUUGGUGAGGUAACGGCUUACCAAGGCGACGAUCUGUAGCGGGUCUGAGAGGAUGAUCCGCCACACUGGAACUGAGACACGGUCCAGACUCCUACGGGAGGCAGCAGUGGGGAAUUUUGGACAAUGGGCGCAAGCCUGAUCCAGCCAUGCCGCGUGAGUGAAGAAGGCC
rnacentral:rRNA from 1 species